GUGGCCGAUUAAGUCUGAUGUGAAAAGCCUAUGGCUCAACCAUAGAAUUGCAUUGGAAACUGAACGGCUAGAGUAUUGGAGAGGUAAGCGGAAUUUCUGGUGUAGCGGUGGAAUGCGUAGAUAUCAGAAAGAACACCGAAAGCGAAGGCAGCUUACUGGACAAUAACUGACACUCAUGGACGAAAGCGUGGGGAGCAAACAGGAUUAGAUACCCUGGUAGUCCACGCCGUAAACGUUGUCAACUUGUUGUGGGGGGAAUUAGCCCCCUCCGUGACGCAGCUAACGCGUUAAGUUGACCGCCUGGGGACUACGGCCGCAAGGCUAAAACUCAAAGGAAUUGACGGGGACCCGCACAAGCGGUGGAGCAUGUGGCUUAAUUCGAGGCAACGCGAAGAACCUUACCUGGACUUGACAUAUAUUUGAUCGCCAUUGAAAGAUGGUUUUCCUUCGGGACAGAUAUACAGGUGCUGCAUGGCUGUCGUCAGCUCGUGCUGUGAAGUGUUCGGUUAAGUCCGGCAACGAGCGCAACCCACGUCGUUAGUUACCAUCAAGUAAUGUUGGGGACUCUAACGAGACUGCCUGUGUUAAGCAGGAGGAAGGCGUGGAUGACGUCAAGUCAGUAUGGCCCUUAUGUCCAGGGCUGCACACGUGCUACAAUGGCUACUACAGAGGGAAGCGAAGCCGCGAGGUAGAGCAAAUCCGUAAAAGUAGUCUAAGUUCGGAUUGGAGUCUGCAACUCGACUCCAUGAAGUCGGAAUCGCUAGUAAAGGCGUAUCAGCAUUGACGCCUUGAAUACGUUCCCGGGUCUUGUACACACCGCCCGUCACAUCAUGGAAGUUGAUUGCACCCGAAGUCGUUGACCCAACUCAAUUUGAGAGGGAGGCGCCUAGGGUGUGGUUAGUAACUGGGAUG
rnacentral:rRNA from 1 species